GUGUGACUGGCAGCACAUGUACUAAACCUGGAACAAUACAGAGAAGAUUAGCAUGACCCUUGCACAAGGAUGACACACAAACUGCUGAGGGGCGGGAGGAGCGU
ensembl:snRNA U6 U6 spliceosomal RNA